rnacentral:misc_RNA from 1 species
GUGGAAUUGGUAAGACGAUCGGCACAUGUCCUCGGACAUGGCCCGAUAUGAACCUUCCCGUGCUUUUUAGAACAUAGAUGGCACCAGUCAGGUGACCAUCGAAACGUAAUACGCCGCGAUGACUUCGGUCACGACGGUAUGGCGAGCUUUCGCCGUCCACGUUUCUCUUUCUUCAAAAGGAUAUCGAACCAUGGGUUUGCGCUCGCGCGCCGUUCGCACCUUCGGUGCUGCGCUCCGCGAGGGCGCCGGACGACCGGCGACGGCCUCUGGCCUGUAUGGGCGACCCUUUCCGAGGUUUUGCUUAGGAUUGGUGUCGACGCAGAGAGAUGGGCCCGUAGCUCAGUUGGUUAGAGCACACGCUUGAUAAGCGUGGGGUCGGAAGUUCAAGUCUUCCCGGGCCCACCAUUUGCUCCAGCAAAUGAGGUUUGCUGUAGCGAAUUGUGGUUUGUUUGGGUUUACCUGAUCCUGGCGGUUUGCUGUCAGGUGUUUGCGAUGGUUGGGGCUGUAGCUCAGCUGGGAGAGCACCUGCUUUGCAAGCAGGGGGUCAGCGGUUCGAUCCCGCUCAGCUCCACCAAUUCGCUUGGUGUCGAGACUGAGAGAUAUCCUUUGAAGAAAUAAAAGUUUUGCAUCGGCUUAGGCUGAUGCGUGUUCUGCAUACAUUGUGAAGAGAAGAUUGAUCUGGAGGCUUCCAGGUGUUUUGGGUUUUGCCCAAGGCGUCCGAGCCCAGUUCUAGUGAUCCCAUGGAUGGCCUAGCCGGCCGGAUAUGGGUGAAGGACUGGAGGUAGGAAGGAAGCUUGUCGCUCUGGGUCGUUGUUGUUUGCUGAUCUUUAGGGAUGAGCAUCUGACGGACGACUUGAUUACCGUUGCCUGACCGCGCGGUAUCGGAUCAUAUCUCGAGAAGCUGGUCUUAAGACAGGCUGCAAGUGAGCUGCUCGGCGUAGCUCCAAUAAAGCAGACCUGUCGAACACGUUAAUGGCAUCAUGAAACGAUCCGGUUGUAAAAGGUAACCGGAUUUUUGGACUGGCCGCACGGCAAUCGCAAGGUUGUCCGGAUGGUCGCAAGUCCAAAUAUGGAUGAGCAUUGGCAAUGAGAACGAUUAAGUGUCGUAAGGGCAUUUGGUGGAUGCCUUGGCAUGCACAGGCGAUGAAGGACGUGAUACGCUGCGAAAAGCCGUGGGGAGCUGCG